CUACGUGCCAGCAGCCGCGGUAAUACGUAGGUGGCAAGCGUUGUCCGGAAUUAUUGGGCGUAAAGCGCGCGCAGGCGGAUUGGUCAGUCUGUCUUAAAAGUUCGGGGCUUAACCCCGUGAUGGGAUGGAAACUGCCAAUCUAGAGUAUCGGAGAGGAAAGUGGAAUUCCUAGUGUAGCGGUGAAAUGCGUAGAUAUUAGGAAGAACACCAGUGGCGAAGGCGACUUUCUGGACGAAAACUGACGCUGAGGCGCGAAAGCCAGGGGAGCGAACGGGAUUAGAUACCCCGGUAGUCCUGGCCGUAAACGAUGGGUACUAGGUGUAGGAGGUAUCGACCCCUUCUGUGCCGGAGUUAACGCAAUAAGUACCCCGCCUGGGGAGUACGACCGCAAGGUUGAAACUCAAAGGAAUUGACGGGGGCCCGCACAAGCGGUGGAGCAUGUGGUUUAAUUCGAAGAUACGCGAAGAACCUUACCCGGACUUGAUAUC
rnacentral:rRNA from 1 species